rnacentral:sRNA from 1 species
GCUGGUUUGAUGUCGCAUAUAGAGAGGUGGCACAGCCAGGGCUGGGUAUCCCAGUCCCGUGUCAUGUCCAGCAUUUUAGUGCAGACUCACAUGCACAUCAAAUGCACAACCAUGCACUGACAGACAAACAGCUCCACAGGAGGAGUGCACAACCAGAGGGGGAGAGGACAGAGGCUAGACAGCCUCUGUCCUCACCUCCUCAGUGGCCACGUGGUGAUGGCUGGGUUUUUUUUUUUUUUUUUUUCCUCCCUAGAUGAGCUUCACAUCUCAGGUCUGCUCAACUCAGGUACCAGCUGACACCCACCCAGUCCCUGGUGUUGCCUUCAGGAGCAGUGGCAAGAUGGGAGCUGCUUGGGGAAGCGGAUCCUAGAGCAGGGGGGAGGAGGAGAGAAUGGAAUGGCUGGAUUUUGAGAUGAGAAGACGGAUGGGGAGGAGGUACCAUUUGCUGGAACUGAAGGGUUCUCAGUAGGGGCUCGAGGCAGGAUGUAUCUGUGAUAUCUGGACCUCAGGAGUCCCUUAAGCACAAGCAGGAAAGUGUGUGGCAGUGAAGACAUUCUGCCUUGGGCCCAAGCCCAAGAUAGGUCUCCCUGAGCCCUGGGCAGACCAUCCGACCUAUGGUCAGUGGAAGGACCCACCUCCUCCCUAUCCCGGGCCUUGUAAACGCCAGGAAGUCAGGUCCCUUUCUCCAUGCAGGCCCUGACUGGGGCAGUCAGCACCAUUAAGUGCUUCCUCUCUGAGGCUUUCCUGGGUCAACACUUCGAGGCUGUGUAGUUGGAGGGCAGGGAGCCUGAGCCAGGAGACCUCUUCCUGUUCAGGCUGAUGUCCCCCACCUGACGCUGGUGCGGGGCCCACGUGGGCGUAUACUGUGGCCAUGGAGAGAUCAUCCACUUUGAGGGUGAGUGCCUCCAGCAGAAACACAGGCCUAAGUCUGCAGAGAGGCUGCCCAGCCAAGCCACGCCCCACCAGUGAGCUGGCUACUCGGGGAUAAAGACUGAAGUCCCAGGUUGGGGGCAAGAACUCAGGAGGCUGUGGGCUCCUGGGAAGUUUCUGGGCUCCUGGAAAGGCAUCGUAUCCAAACAGGGGCAGCGCCCGCUGCUACGCUCCCGCUGGCGCGUGCUGCGCAGAGUGAGCGAAGCGAUGGACGCGGACCCACCAUCCUAUCACUCCACGCGCAGCAACUGUGUGCACUUUGCACUGCGUCUGCUCGCCCCAGGUCCCAGCCUGGACCCCCGGCAAACAGAUGGGAGCUCCAGCAGGUGUCAGUGGACGUGGACGUGUCCCCGGAUUAGGCAUGACCUUGGCCCUCCUGGGUGGACGUGGAGGCUUCAGAAAGAUUCAUUAAACUACUUUCCAAGGCUUAA